AGGACGAACGCUGGCGGCGUGCUUAACACAUGCAAGUCGAGCGGAAAGGCCCUUCGGGGUACUCGAGCGGCGAACGGGUGAGUAACACGUGAGCAACCUGCCCCUGGCUCUGGGAUAGCCUCCGGAAACGGGGAUUAAUACCGGACAUGACCCUUGACCGCAUGGUUGGGGGUGGAAAGUUUUUCGGCCAGGGUGGGGCUCGCGGCCUAUCAGCUUGUUGGGGGGGUGACGGCCCACCAAGGCGACGACGGGUAGCCGGCCUGAGAGGGCGACCGGCCACACUGGGACUGAGACACGGCCCAGACUCCUACGGGAGGCAGCAGUGGGGAAUUUUGCGCAAUGGGGGAAACCCUGACGCAGCAACGCCGCGUGGAGGAUGAAGUCCCUUGGGAUGUAAACUCCUUUCGAUCGGGACGAUUAUGACGGUACCGGAAGAAGAAGCACCGGCUAACUCUGCGCCAGCAGCCGC
rnacentral:rRNA from 1 species